CCUACGGGUGGCACCAGUGGGGAAUAUUGCACAAUGGGCGCAAGCCUGAUGCAGCCAUGCCGCGUGUAUGAAGAAGGCCUUCGGGUUGUAAAGUACCUUCAGCGGGGAGGAAGGCGAUAAGGUUAAUAACCUUGUCGAUUGACGUUACCCGCAGAAGAAGCACCGGCUAACUCCGUGCCAGCAGCCGCGGUAAUACGGAGGGUGCAAGCGUUAAUCGGAAUUACUGGGCGUAGGCGCACGCAGGCGGUCUGUCAAGUCGGAUGUGAAAUCCCCGGGCUCAACCUGGGAACUGCAUUCGAAACUGGCAGGCUGGAGUCUUGUAGAGGGGGGGUAGAAUUCCAGGUGUAGCGGUGAAAUGCGUAGAGAUCUGGAGGAAUACCGGUGGCGAAGGCGGCCCCCUGGACAAAGACUGACGCUCAGGUGCGAAAGCGUGGGGAGCAAACAGGAUUAGAUACCCCUGUAGUC
rnacentral:rRNA from 1 species